GUUGAACGCUGGCGGCAUGCUUUACACAUGCAAGUCGAACGGUAACAGGCCGCAAGGUGCUGACGAGUGGCGAACGGGUGAGUGAUGCAUCGGAACGUGCCCAGUCGUGGGGGAUAACGCAGCGAAAGCUGUGCUAAUACCGCAUACGAUCUAUGGAUGAAAGCGGGGGACCGUAAGGCCUCGCGCGAUUGGAGCGGCCGAUGUCAGAUUAGGUAGUUGGUGGGGUAAAGGCUCACCAAGCCAACGAUCUGUAGCUGGUCUGAGAGGACGACCAGCCACACUGGGACUGAGACACGGCCCAGACUCCUACGGGAGGCAGCAGUGGGGAAUUUUGGACAAUGGGCGCAAGCCUGAUCCAGCAAUGCCGCGUGCAGGAAGAAGGCCUUCGGGUUGUAAACUGCUUUUGUACGGAACGAAAAGGUUUGGGUUAAUACCCUGGGCCGAUGACGGUACCGUAAGAAUAAGCACCGGCUAACUACGUGCCAGCCGCCGCAGUAA
rnacentral:rRNA from 1 species